AAGUCGUAACAAGGUUUCCGUAGGUGAACCUGCGGAAGGAUCAUUAACACGUAUCCAAACGUUAAAACCCCCCCCGUGAACCUUCAUCCUGCUCUUGUAACCCGCGUAGGUCGCAAUCUCUGAUAAAUCAUAGCCCGGAAAGUUGUAGUGAUUCAGAGACCUCCCCAAGCAGUCAGUGUUGGAAAGUGUCAUUGAUUGUGCAAGGAUAGCGCUUCUACGAUUCCUGUAGACCGUACACUCGGGCAGGAGCUUUGCCAAAGGGUCCCCAUGCCCCCUAAUAACCCCACAGUUUAAUGUGAAGCUCAAUGUAAUACAUUGGGUAAAAAAACCGAACAACUGUUAACAAUGGAUAUCUUGGUUCUC
rnacentral:misc_RNA from 1 species